rnacentral:rRNA from 1 species
CCUACGGGUGGCAGCAGUGAGGAAUAUUGGUCAAUGGACGAGAGUCUGAACCAGCCAAGUAGCGUGAAGGAUGACUGCCCUAUGGGUUGUAAACUUCUUUUAUAAAGGAAUAAAACGAGGCACGUGUGCCUUUUUGCAUGUACUUUAUGAAUAAGGAUCGGCUAACUCCGUGCCAGCAGCCGCGGUAAUACGGAGGAUCCGAGCGUUAUCCGGAUUUAUUGGGUUUAAAGGGAGCGUAGAUGGGUUGUUAAGUCAGUUGUGAAAGUUUGCGGCUCAACCGUAAAAUUGCAAUUGAUACUGGCAGUCGUGAGUACAGUUGAGGUAGGUGGAAUUCGUGGUGUAGCGGUGAAAUGCUUAGAUAUCACGAAGAACCCCGAUUGCGAAGGCAGCUUACUAAACUGUGACUGACAUUGAUGCUCGAAAGUGUGGGUAUCAAACAGGAUUAGAUACCCCUGUAGUC